UUCCGGUUGAUCCCGCCGGAGGUCACUGCUAUCGGUGUUCGAUUAAGCCAUGCGAGUCGAGAGGCGUCAAGGCCUCGGCGUACUGCUCAGUAACACGUGGACAACCUGCCCAAAGGUCCGGGAUAACCCCGGGAAACUGGGGAUAAUACCGGAUAAAUCACAAAUACUGGAAUGGUUUUGUGGUUGAAACUUUCGGGGCCUUUGGAUGGGUCUGCGGCUGAUUAGGUUGUUGCCGGUGUAACGUACCGUCAAGCCUGUAAUCAGUACGGGUUGUGGGAGCAAGAGCCCGGAGAUGGAUUCUGAGACACGAAUCCAGGCCCUACGGGGCGCAGCAGGCGCGAAAACUCUACAAUGCAGGCAACUGCGAUAGGGGAACAUCGAGUGAUACUCAUUUUGGGUGUCUGUCCUCCCGUCUAAAAAACGGGAGUUAGCAAGGGCCGGGCAAGACCGGUGCCAGCCGCCGCGGUAAUACCGGCGGCUCGAGUGGUGGCCGAUAUUAUUGAGUCUAAAGGGUCCGUAGCCGGCUUUGCAAGUCUUUUGGGAAAUCCAGCGGCUUAACCGUUGGUCGUCCGGGAGAUACUACAUUGCUUGGGACUGGGAGAGGUAGGAGGUACUCAGGGGGUAGGAGUGAAAUCCUGUAAUCCUUUGGGGACCACCGGUGGCGAAGGCGUCCUACCAGAACAGGUCCGACGGUGAGGGACGAAAGCUAGGGGCACGAACCGGAUUAGAUACCCGGGUAGUCCUAGCCGUAAACGAUGCUCGCUAGGUGUCACAACAAUCGUGAAUUGUUGUGGUGCCGUAGGGAAGCCGUGAAGCGAGCCACUUGGGAAGUACGACCGCAAGGUUGAAACUUAAAGGAAUUGGCGGGGGAGCACCACAACGGGUGGAGCCUGCGGUUUAAUUGGAGUCAACGCCGGAA
rnacentral:rRNA from 1 species